GCUGGGCUUGGUAGCAUGAGCCUAUAACCUGAGUGAGAGCAUUAAGAUGGUGGAACAAUUGGCCAUUCCCUGAAGGUUGGGCCUUGGUUGCAAUUUACUGGCUUGCCCGUUCCAAGUGGUGAGUUGUGUCGUGGAUUCUUUGCGAAGGCAGAGGCUUCCUGGUCCUUAGAUUGGAGGGCACCGCGUGAGGCUGGCUUUACAGAGCAACGGAAACCUUCUCCUCUCUACCGUGGAAGGAUAAUGGGCCGGUGCACAGCCCAAUAGAGCCCGUACAACAAUGAAAAGAUGAUACACAUUCU
rnacentral:SRP_RNA from 1 species